rnacentral:rRNA from 1 species
AUCCUAGGACGACUUCUGGAGACAGAUUUCCUUCCCUUCGGGGACCUAGUGACAGGUGCUGCAUGGCUGUCGUCAGCUCGUGUCGUGAGAUGUUGGGUUAAGUCCCGCAACGAGCGCAACCCUCGUCCUUAGUUGCCAUCAUUAAGUUGGGCACUUUAAGGAAACUGCCGGUGAUAAGCCGGAGGAAGGUGGGGAUGACGUCAAGUCCUCAUGGCCCUUACAGGCUGGGCUACACACGUGCUACAAUGGCAUCUACAGUGGGCAGCUAUCCCGCAAGGGUGCGCUAAUCUCCAAAAGAUGUCUCAGUUCGGAUUGUCCUCUGCAACUCGAGGGCAUGAAGGCGGAAUCGCUAGUAAUCGCGGAUCAGCAUGCCGCGGUGAAUACGUUCCCAGGCCUU